AGUGUGGCGAACACUUGCAGAUGUCGCCGCGAUCGCCAAUAUGUGUUCCAGGGGUCAGAUUUCAAUCACGCCAAUUUGUUUGUCAUUAUGUGUUCCAGGGGUCAGAUUUCAAUCAAGCCAAUUUGUUUUUAUGUAGCUUAAUAUCACAUGUCAAAUCGUCGUGAUUGUUCUGCUAUUGAAUUUAACGUUAUUAGAUUUUGUUGUUUUCUGUGACAUGGUAAUCAAAAGACAUGGGAAGGAAAUGUGAAUUUUAUACUUGUGGAAAUCGCGAGAGCAGCUGUAGCCGCAGUGACGAUAUUUCGUUUUUAAAAUUUCCGAAAACAAUAAACUGUGUUCUUUGUGGGUAAAGGCAUGUUGCUCUCCCGAAGCAACUCAUGUUUUUGAAACGAACGGAGCCGAAGCUUUUCGAAUGGGAAAAAUCUGCUCUAACCAUUUUGCACCAACUGCAUUCAAAAAUAUUGAUAGGAAAAAUAAAGGAUUGACGCUUGGUGCGGUACCGUUAACCUGUGAGGGAUUUGUAAACAGAAGUAAAGAUAUUACACCAAAGAUGAUUUUCGAAAACAAGGAUCGAAACCCUGAAAUAAAAUUGUGGGAUCAGAAGUACAUUGAAAAUGAAAAACUAAAUAAUGACCAGAUUCUCGCAGACUCUUUCUUGUCAAUAGUGUGCCAUAGCGAUAAUUAUUAUACAUUAUUAAAAAAUGAAGAUAUAAAUCUCAAAGCUUAAAAGUCAAUACAGUUUUUGUCAACUGAUUGUUUUCAUGACAUUGACAUUGUCAAAGAAGAAAUUCUGGAUGAUGAACAAAUUGCCACAGAGUUACCUUCGUUACAGAAAACCACCAUUAACAACGAGCUUUCGGAAGUAUUAACCAGUAAAACAGACGGUCUUGAGGCUUCUUGUCAUUCUAUAUAUGACCAAGUUCAACAAGUUGCCAAUGAUAACACUAUGAAAAAUAUAUCGAUGUAUGAAAACCAUAAAAACACGUUCAACGAUGACAGCGAAUCGUGGAAUAAAACUAAAAGAUGGAAACAUGGUAUACAAAAUGAAAAGAAAACUAUUAAAAUCCUUAAGGUUAAGCUUAAGUCCGUUCGUCGUCGGCUUUUUGUAUCUAUUCAAACCAGCAAUCGUCGAUUAAAAAUGAUCAAUCGAAGCAAACGUAUUUCAAUUAAGCUAUUAAGUAAGAUAAAAAAAUCAUAAGACAAAAAUCUGAUAGAAAAAUGCUCGGGGAAUUGGCUGAGGUUAAUCCCAUAGUAAAAGAUUCAUUGCUUAAUGCAGUGCGACGCCCAGCGGCUCGUCGUUAUCAUCCAGCUACGAUGAAAUUCGCAGCUGGAGUGAAUCUAAAUGGACCUCGUACUUACCGGUAUACAAGAAACUCAAAGCAAAUAAUGUUACCACACAAAAACAGUGUAUACAAUUUUAAUCGAAACAUUCGUUUAAAGCCAGGGUUGGACAGAGCAAUCUUGAAUCGAAUGAAAACUAAAAUUAAGUGGCUGCGAACUAAACAGAACAAAUUAGUAAUGAUCUGCCUAGAUGGAAUGUCUGUUAAAUCAGAACUGACUUAUUGUGCUAAGUCCGACACGUUCUAUGGAUUUUCGGAUUACGGCAUUGUAAAGAAGGUCGAAAGGAAUGAUCCUACAAAACUGGCAACUCAAGCAGUUGUAAUAAUGGUCUCUGGGAUAUACAGUAGAUUCAAGCAGCCUGUUGGAUAUUUUCUUGCUCACAAUACCCUUGGAAGUGAAAUUCAAAUGAAGCUCACAAGAAAAAGUAUUAUUGCUAUUCGUGAUACCGGACUCAUACCGAUAGCUCUGGUGAUGGACCAGUCUACAACAAAUCAAAAAAUGAUUCGUGAAGCUGGCGGAACUGCUGAACACCCAAUAAUACAAGUUGACAACGAAAAUAUAGCCGUUAUGUUUGAUCCACCCCAUUUGUUGAAAAAUGCACGAAAUGCACUUUAUAAGUACAACCACAGAUAACAGAUAUACAGGCUCGAACAAAUUCCUGUGUAAAUUUUAAAUUUGCUGUACGUUGGGCUCACUACUGCCACCUACUCGACUGUUCGCCUCGGUCACAGCCUCAAUAUUUCAGAACGUUCCUCUUCGUUCCGGAACGAUAACAGAGGUUAUUUUUCUAUAGCACAAAUUUUCUUUCCACAGUAGUUGGAAAAUCGAAUCGAAUAUCCAACAUUUAGUAACAUGUUUGUGGAGUAGAUGCUUAGGAGGCUGAUAAAGCUGGUUGGAUUGAUUGUUACAAAGCAAACAAUAUGCACUGAAUCGCAAAUUCACUGCAGUUGACAGAACUCGAAAGCAUUCCGGCUCUUUGUUCCUCGAAUGGAAACUACAUUGCAUAAAAAUCAAUAAACCGAAACUGUUUUUUACCAAUGGCGAUCCGAUGCCUACCGUUUUCAAACCGACUAUGGCAGUGUACGUCAAUCUUAUUUUGAAUGAUAAUAUUCCAUGGCGAAGGAUUUCAUCACAAUUCACAUCCAGUUCCCGUUAUCUAAUUCAUCAGAAGAAUCACUUCCAUCAAACACGCAAGCCAUUACGAAUGCAAAUAACUGUACAUUGGAGAAUAGUGUAACAUUCAUAUGACAAGAAAAAUUAUCAAGAUGAGCUAUAUUAGCAACACUAUUACCAAUUACUUGUUUCUCCCGAUAUCAUUAAACGCAAGUAAUGUUGUAUGAAAAACUCGAACUCAAUCGAAAUACAGAUUACAAAUUUAAUUCGAUUUAAAUAUUCCGAUUCGAUCGGAAUACAGAAUCGGAUUGUAUAUAAAGAUCUGAAUGUCACAAUAAGAACCUGUGUUGAAUGGCGGA